UGGCUCAGGAUGAACGCUGGCGGCGUGCUUAACACAUGCAAGUCGAACGGAGAAAAGAAGCUUGCUUCUUUUCUUAGUGGCGGGCGGGUGAGUAACGCGUGGGUAACCUGCCCUAUGCAGGGGGAUAACGUUGGGAAACCAACGCUAAUACCGCAUAAUACAAAAAGCUUGCAUGAGCUUUUUGUCAAAGAUUUAUCGGCAUAGGAUGGACCCGCGUUGGAUUAGCUAGUUGGUGAGAUAACAGCCCACCAAGGCGACGAUCCAUAGCCGGCCUGAGAGGGUGAACGGCCACAUUGGGACUGAGACACGGCCCAAACUCCUACGGGAGGCAGCAGUGGGGAAUAUUGCACAAUGGGCGCAAGCCUGAUGCAGCGACGCCGCGUGAAGGAUGAAGGUUUUCGGAUCGUAAACUUCUAUCAGCAGGGAGGAACCAAAUGACGGUACCUGACUAAGAAGCCCCGGCUAACUACGUGCCAGCAGCCGCGGUAAUACGUAGGGGGCAAGCGUUAUCCGGAUUUACUGGGUGUAAAGGGUGCGUAGGUGGUAUGGCAAGUUGGAUGUGAAAUUUUGGGGCUCAACCUCAAAGCUGCAUCCAAAACUGCUGAACUAGAGUGCAGGAGAGG
rnacentral:rRNA from 1 species